rnacentral:rRNA from 1 species
AUUGAACGCUGGCGGCAGGCCUAACACAUGCAAGUCGAGCGGAUGAAGGCAGCUUGCUCCUGGAUUCCGCGGCGGACGGGUGAGUAAUGCCUAGGAAUCUGCCUGGCAGUGGGGGAUAACGUCCGGAAACGGGCGCUAAUACCGCAUACGUCCUGCGGGAGCAAGUGGGGGAUCUUCGGACCUCACGCUCUCAGAUGAGCCUAGGUCGGAUUAGCUAGUUGGUGGGUUAAAGGCCUACCAAGGCGACGAUCCGUAACUGGUCUGAGAGGAUGAUCAGUCACACGGGAACUGAGACGGGGUCCAGACUCCUACGGGAGGCAGCAGAGGGGAAUAUGGGACAGUGGGCGAAAGCCUGACCCAGUGAGGCGGCGUGUGAGAAGAAGGUCUUCGGAUUGUAAAGCACGUUAAGUGGGGAGGAAGGGCAGUAAGUUAAUACCUUGCUGGUGUGACGGUAACAACAGAAUAAGCACCGGCUAACUUCGUG